ACCCGCCCCACUGCCCAGCUCGGGCGGUUCCGCUUCGGCCAGCUCGGGAAAUACCACUCUGGACUGGGGAGUGGGGAGCUACAGCCGCCGGAAACGAGGAAGUCCGGUCUACCUUCACUCCCCCUCCUUCCGCCUUGUCAGGAAUGUGGAGCUGCCUAGAUUCAUCACGAUUAGAUUGGAAAGUAUACUCCCCCCCGUAGGGCCAGGCAGAGCAACAGAGCUGCUGACCAGACUGGUCAUCUAGGCACUGUGGGAUAUCCUCCUGAGGCUAAAAGCUGUGUAAACAGGAAGAAUGUGUCUUCACUUGCACAUCACUGGAAGAGCAUCACCGGUGGCUGUGUACCACAAAAGCAGAAACCAACCCAGCACCUGGGAAAAUCAGUAAAUGUAAGAAGGAGUGAAACCCAACCACCAAAAUCCUAUUUGAAAGUGCCAUCCAAAUGGUUUAGGAAAUAUUGUACAAAAAUGUUCAGUUUAUUUAUGUCAGUGUUAUUAAA